GACGAACGCUGGCGGCGUGCUUAACACAUGCAAGUCGAACGGAAAGGCCCUGCUUUUGUGGGGUGCUCGAGUGGCGAACGGGUGAGUAACACGUGAGUAACCUGCCCUUGACUUUGGGAUAACUUCAGGAAACUGGGGCUAAUACCGGAUAGGAGCUCCUGCUGCAUGGUGGGGGUUGGAAAGUUUCGGCGGUUGGGGAUGGACUCGCGGCUUAUCAGCUUGUUGGGGGGGUAGUGGCUUACCAAGGCUUUGACGGGUAGCCGGCCUGAGAGGGUGAACGGCCACAUUAGGACUGAGAUACGGCCCAGACUCCUACGGGAGGCAGCAGUGGAGAAUAUUGCACAAUGGGCGGGAGCCUGAUGCGACAACGCCGCGUGCGGGAUGACGGCCUUCGAGUUGUAAACCGCUGUCGCCUGUGACGAAGCGGGAGUGACGGUAAUGGGUAAAAAAGCACCGGCUAACUACGUG
rnacentral:rRNA from 1 species